rnacentral:rRNA from 1 species
UACGAAGGGGGCAAACGUUGCUCGGAAUCAUUGGGCGUAAAGCGCACGUAGGCGGUCCAGCAAGUCGGGUGUGAAAGCCCUCGGCUUAACUGAGGAAGUGCAUUCGAAACUACUGGACUUGAAUACUGGAGAGGGUUGCGGAAUUCCCGGUGUAGAGGUGAAAUUCGUAGAUAUCGGGAGGAACACCAGUGGCGAAGGCGGCAACCUGGACAGAUAUUGACGCUGAGGUGCGAAAGCGUGGGGAGCAAACAGG